rnacentral:tRNA from 1 species
GAGGGUAUGGCUCAGUGGCAGAGUGCGUGCUUAGCAUGCAUGAGGUCCUGGGUUCUAUCCCUGGUACCUCCA